GGGGAAUAUUGCGCAAUGGGCGAAAGCCUGACGCAGCGACGCCGCGUGAGGGAUGAAGGUUCUCGGAUCGUAAACCUCUGUCAGGGGGGAAGAAACCCCCUCGUGUGAAUAAUGCGAGGGCUUGACGGUACCCCCAAAGGAAGCACCGGCUAACUCCGUGCCAGCAGCCGCGGUAAUACGGAGGGUGCAAGCGUUAAUCGGAAUCACUGGGCGUAAAGCGCACGUAGGCGGCUUGGUAAGUCAGGGGUGAAAUCCCACAGCCCAACUGUGGAACUGCCUUUGAUACUGCCAGGCUUGAGUACCGGAGAGGGUGGCGGAAUUCCAGGUGUAGGAGUGAAAUCCGUAGAUAUCUGGAGGAACACCGGUGGCGAAGGCGGCCACCUGGACGGUAACUGACGCUGAGGUGCGAAAGCGUGGGUAGCAAAC
rnacentral:rRNA from 1 species